UAUAUGUAUUCAUAUGUAUGUAUAUUAUAUAUAUAUAUAUAUACAUAUAUAAAUUUAUAAUAUAUAUAUAUUAUAAAUUUAUAUAUGUAUAUGUUGAGUGAAAGAAAUUGAGGGGAGAGGAAGACGAUCGAGAAAUCUAAAAGAGGAGAAAGACGAGAGAGCGGCUAACUUCUCGCGGCGCUUUUGUUCUUUCUUCGUUCUCGUUCCUUCUCUCUUUCUCUUUCUCUUUCUAUCUCUUUCUUUCUUUCUGUUUCUCUCUGUCUCUCUCUCUCUCUCUCUCUCUCUCUUUCUCUGUUAGUUCAUUCCUCUAGUUCCCACACUCUCCACAGUUCGCCGCCGUUCCGUUUCGUUAUCUCUUCGAAAGCAGCGAAACGCGCGACAUACUUUGCUCCCGAUUUGUCUCUUCUAACAUCGCAAAAUCUGUUAAAUAUGUACUUUUACGUACAUAGAUAUGUACGUAGAUAUAUUCAAACCUGUCCAUAUGUAGAUAGAAUGAACGAAAGAUUGAAAAAAAGAAUGUAUUUAUCGAUCAUUACAAAAAUUAAAAAAAGAAAGAAGAAAGAAUUAGCCUGUAGAAAGUAUCGACGAAUAAAGAGUAACCGAUCUUUUUUACUACCAACGUACUUUUCGCUUAUUUUCUAUAUAAAUGUGGAUAUAUAUGUAUGAAAGACCACGUAUAAAUAUCGCGAUGCUUCGGUUUCCUUCCCAAUGGCCGACGUUGUUUCAUGUUCCAUCGCGCGAUCUAGACUUUCACCUUUUUGCCAAGAGACGAAGAAGGAAAUAACAGAUGAAAUCGUUGGAUCGUCAAUGACCACGACAGUGAUCGAUCAAUUUCUCUCACCACCAAAUUUCAAUCUAAC